rnacentral:sRNA from 1 species
GAGCGUCUUUACUAGAUCUAGCCAGUGG